AUUGAACGCUGGCGGCAUGCUUUACACAUGCAAGUCGAACGGCAGCGCGGGCUUCGGCCUGGCGGCGAGUGGCGAACGGGUGAGUAAUGCAUCGGAACGUGCCCCGUAGUGGGGGAUAGCCCGGCGAAAGCCGGAUUAAUACCGCAUACGACCUGAGGGUGAACGCGGGGGACCGAAAGGCCUCGCGCUAUUGGAGCGGCCGAUGUCGGCUUAGCUAGUUGGUGGGGUAAAGGCUUACUACGGCGACGAUCCGUAGCUGGGCGGAGAGGACGACCACCCACACUGAGACUGAGACACGGCCCUGACUCUGACGGAGGCAGCAGUGGGGAAUGUUGGACAAUGGGGGCAACCCUGAUCCAGCCAUGCCGCGUGCGAGAAGAAGGCCUUCGGGUCGUAAACCGCUUUUGUUCGGGAAGAAAUCCUCUGGGCUAAUACCCCGGGGGGAUGACGGUACCGGAAGAAUAAGCACCGGCUAACUACGUG
rnacentral:rRNA from 1 species